CCUACGGGCGGCAGCAGUCGAGAAUCAUUCACAAUGGGGGAAACCCUGAUGGUGCGACGCCGCGUGGGGGAAUGAAGGUCUUCGGAUUGUAAACCCCUGUCAUGUGGGAGCAAAUUAAAAAGAUAGUACCACAAGAGGAAGAGACGGCUAACUCUGUGCCAGCAGCCGCGGUCAUACAGAGGUCUCAAGCGUUGUUCGGAAUCACUGGGCGUAAAGCGUGCGUAGGCUGUUUCGUAAGUCGUGUGUGAAAGGCGCGGGCUCAACCCGCAGACGGCACAUGAUACUGCGAGACUAGAGUAAUGGAGGGGGAACAGGAAUUCUCGGUGGAGCAGUGAAAUGCGUAGAUAUCGAGAGGAACACUCGUGGCGAAGGCGGGUUCCUGGACAUUAACUGACGCUGAGGCACGAAGGCCAGGGGAGCGAAAGGGAUUAGAUACCCCUGUAGUC
rnacentral:rRNA from 1 species